rnacentral:rRNA from 1 species
GACGAACCGUCCUAACGUUGUUCGGAAUCACUGGGCUUAAAGGGCGCGUAGGCGGCUUGCCAAGUCAGACGUGAAAUCCCCGGGCUUAACCUGGGAAUGGCGUUUGAAACUACGGAGCUGGAGUAUGGCAGAGGGGGGUGGAAUUCCACGUGUAGCGGUGAAAUGCGUAGAUAUGUGGAGGAACACCGAUGGCGAAGGCAGCCCCCUGGGCCAAUACUGACGCUCAUGCACGAAAGCGUGGGGAGCAAACAGG